rnacentral:lncRNA from 1 species
CCCCCGCCGCGGCUGCUCCCACUCCCGCACCGAAGCCCAAGGCCAAGGCGCCCGCGGCCGCACCACCAGCCAAAGCCACCGCCCCUGCCCCCGCAGCACUCCCUCCCACCGCAGACGUACCCGCGGCCGCCGCGCCAACGCUCGUCCCCGAGGUGCCUGCCGCCGCGCCGGCCCCGUUGACCAAGCCCACCGACGCCCCCGCGCCGGCGCCGUCCAAGAAGAAGCGCUCCUCCAAGAAGAAGACGAAGGCGCCCGCGCCCGCCCCAGCCGCCGCGGCCCCCGUCAAGGCCAAGGCCGUGGCGCCCACCACCGCCCAGGCCGCCGCGGCUCCCGGGCCCAGCGGCGACUCCACCGCCGCCGACACCGCGGUACGUCCUACGCUCACUAACUUGCCAACCGUGAUCACUGGGUUUGGGGUCCAAGCCAUGCACACUCCAUUAAGCAAAUUUACGAGGCUGCCACCCGGACGGCAUGGCCACGGCGGCCAGUGUGUCGGCGCGCACUGUUGGGUCAGCCCGACACGCACGUGCUCCUGACUGGCUAAUUAACUUGCCUGACAUGACAUUAGUUGGGGCAUUAACUUGCCUGACAUGAGAAUCAAAUCAAAUCACACCGUUGACACCAGCAUGGAGGGCUGUCCCUGCUGGCUGCUGCCUGGACCAUGCACACUAUUGUUUACUUCAUCGUCGGCUCGCAGUUUUGCAUCCAAGCUACUUAACGUGUGCAUUGUUGUCCAUGGUUGUUUUGCAGAGUGCACCGGGGAGGAGCACCGGGAUGGCGGCGGCCGUGAUCGUGGCGGCGCUCGGCGCGGCGGCGAUGCUCGCCUAGACCGACGAUCCCCGUCGAUCGGGCCGUGAUGAUGCGCGCGUCGGCCAUGUCACCCUUUUUCUCUUUUGGUUUUGUGUAAUUAUUUACGAGGGGUGAUGGGCUUUGAGCCUUUUUCCUUUCCUGUGUCGUGCACUAGAGCUCACAUUCACAGUGUCGCGAUUCUUUUGCUUUGCUUUUGUGUUGAGAGAGACGGGAGAGAAGCCAGAGUGUCACAGAUGAUAUGGUACGAGAGACGGAUGCGAGGGGGAGGGGACGCUGCCUGUGUAUUAUUGUUAAUUUUAUUCAUAUUUAUAACGUAUUUAUAUCACAGUUACCAUUACGUUUUCAUCGUUGUCAUUGUUACAGUUGUUGGUACCUUGACAUGACUGUGAAGCAGAAACAUUCUUUUGGUUUUGGUUUUCGUUUUUUCAUCUUUUGCCUGUUGAUUGUGAAAGAAAGGGAAAGCUGGGUUGAUGCCUUUCGCCAUGAUUAGACACGGCCGACCAUCCACUAACCCACAAGCUUACAAACUGAAAACUUAUGCAAAUAGUAUUUUAAUUAAAUGAAAAUUAUUGGGG